CGCUGGGCGCCGGGAGAGGCCGCAGUGCGCAGGCGCGCCGGGCGCCGCCCUAUAUAGGCGCGGAGAAGAUGGCGGCGCUGGCGGGGCCUGCUCGGGCCUUUCUCCGCCCGCGGCAAGGAAACGCGAGGCCCGGCGCCCUCCGUUCGGGAAGAGUUCAGAGUGUGCUACAGACAGAGAAUGCAAGGCCACUGCAUUCUGCCUCAAGCCCCAAGAUAAAGUAGCCUUUUGUGCUGCCUGCUGAGAAUUACAGAGAAUAUGUGAAUGUAAUACUAAGUGCUGCCCAGGGAACGCUUCUAAAUGUCGUAAGUUCAUGGUGUUGGUUUUUGAUGCUACUUGAUAUCUAAAAAUCAAACAGGCUUACACAUACAUGAUGUUUUUUACUCUGAGGCACUGGAAGAUUCAGACCAAAUUAACUGUCAUGUCACCCACUGCUGCAUGCACUAGAAUGAGGAACAUUCAUAGAAAAUACUUCAAAUCUCCUGCUAGAAAAUAAAGAAGAAAAUGGGAAAUGAAGAGAAUCAAACUGUAGCCUGCAUUUCUAAGAAUGAUCAGCAUUAUUUAUAUAAGAGUAAGUAAAAAUGUUGUAGUUCUGUAUAAGCUUGGGACAGAUAAGAAUAAAAGUCUCUUAACUGACAGAACUGUCCAAUAACUGACAGUCACUUUCCCAAAGACAGCUAGCAAUGCAGUCUUGCUGGAAUCUGCUCUCAAGUGCAGAAAUGUUCAUGCCCUCUGAAAUGAUUUAAGAGGAGCUAUAAAGUCAGAGCUGUCAGGCUUGCAGAUGGAAAGGCAAAUUAAAUCCAUAGGAAUGGUAAGAAAAUGUAUCAGUUAAUCAGACUGGACUCCUGGGUAAUGGUAAGCUGAACAAAAUUUCAAGCUGUGCAACUGAUAGUAUUAAAACAUAUCUAGGAACAAAAAGUGUGGAUCACAUGCAAUGAGUGGUCACAUUAACAUAGUGCCUUACUAAAGGGAUUUAGAAGUAAGGACACAAACAGCUGCCAUGAGCUUCAGCACUAUACUGGGAGACUGACCACAAGGAUGGAGAUACUAGCAGAAAAUGGUAUUACUUGGUAUGAACUCAAGGGACAGCCAGGUAUAGCAAGUGUCUCAUUCUGGUGUCUAUGCAUCAGAUAGGAAACAAGUAAAAACAGGUCAAAGGAGAAAGCUAGCAGAGCAACCUAAGUUCUGAGGGGGGAGACUACCUACAGCAACUCCAAAGAUCAAUCUCUUAACCAUGAGAAGACUUCUUAACCAAGAAAAGGGGUUGUAUUGUUACCUGUGUUUAGACGCAGGAUUGUUGAUGCUACAUUUAAAUAGUUGCCUGUUAAAAGCCUGCAUUAGACAAUUUUAUAUAUUGAAACCAGAUGCAUUUUUUUGAGAAUUGCUAAAAUUGGAGACCUAGCUUAUUUUUCAUCAGCUGAAGUUUUUAGAUCUAGGUUUGAUCUUCUAAAAAAGGAAGAAAAAAAGUUAGGUCUUAGGUCAAAAAUAGAAUCUGUGAUCACUGAGAAUGGACUCUGCCUUUAAAAUCUAGGGAGGAAUGCAUCUCUGAAUAUUUGAGAAUAUCAGACAAGGGAGGCAAAGAUAGAAUAGGCUGGUCUUUCUAUGUAAAUUUUAAUUUUCUCUAAACAGACAGGUCUACAUCAAACUUUCCACCAAUAUUUAUAGUUCUGCUUUUUUUGCACCAGAAGUCUGUAGCCAGCCUGAAGAAGUUACCCAGCUGCAGAAAGCAGUGAUGAAAAGAGUCGCUCAAGGUGUACCAGAAUCAAGAUAUUUCUUCAAAGAAUGCAAAUAUCAGAUCUCAAAACAGUAGAGGUAAGAUCUUAAAGGAGGAGGGGGGAGAGGAAGUGAGGGGUGGGUUGUACCUUAAGAGGAAAAAGGUAAGUGUUUUGGCCUACUAGAUUCUCUUCUUUCUCUAGUCUUCCAGUGCCAGUCUUCCUAUCCUGGCAUAUCUGGAACACUUGUUUGUUUACUGCUCACAUGCCUCCUUGUGACAGUAAGGUAGCAUUAGAUACCGACAGUGAGAUUCUGCAUUGACUCAAAGGUGUUUCCUUUACUUCUAAAUGAAGGAAGAGUCAUUCCUGGCAGGAACAGAUGCGUAUGAAUGUAAGCUCCACACUGUCAUGUGCAAUGGCAACAUGCUUCUGUGUUAGACUCCAUUUGAAGAAUGGGCUAUUGGCACAAUUUCUGUAACAGUAAACUAAUGAUGUGAAUACUCACCACCUUAGAUGACAGGAAAGAACAGAAUGCCUCCUGUUGCUGCUUCCUGAAGCAGUCUGUGCUCCCCUGCUGGUAUUUGUAUGCAUUGAUAAGAUAAUCUGUGAACCUGCUCUUCUCCAGGCUCAACAGUCCCAGCUCUCUCACCAUCUCCUUGUUUCAUGCAUAUUCCAGCCUCUUAAUAUUGUAGUGGACCUUUGCUGGACACCACACUCCAGCUGUGGCCUCUCCAGGGCUGAGUAGAGGGGAAGGAUCACCUCCCUUGACAUGCUGGCAGCACUUCCUAAUGCAGCUCACAGUGCUGCUGUUGACUUUCUUUGCUGCAAGGGUGCAUUGCUGGCUCAUGUGCAGCUUCUCCACCAGGACUCCCAGGUAGCUUCCCUGCAAAGCUGCCUUCCAGCCAGUCAGAUCCCAGCCAGUACUGGUACCUGGGGUUAUCUCCAUCACAAACCUGGAUGAUGCACAAUAGCAUGUCUCACACAUGGCUGACACAGUGCUAGGAAGUUCUUCUCCCCUAGGCAAGUAAGUUAAAUGAGGUUGUUUCAUUCAAAAACAAGAAAAACUGCAUUUUUCCCACUUUGUGGAGAAAUGACCUUUACUUGAUUAAUGUUGCAAAGGGAAUGACUGACCUGGGAGAUUUUAGGACCUCCACUAUUGAAGGUUUUUAACAGACACGAAUGGUUUUACAGUUUAACUCUUAAGACUGUAAAUGAUCUCAAGAAGACAUCUAGCCCUGUUUUUGUUUCUUAUCUGUUACUUCAGACACCUAGUAAAACAUUCUUGUUGGAUCUUGAACCUGAAGUCCUAGAGAAAUUCAGUUAUGUCUAGCUUUUCAUUUUACAUUCACACAAAAUGGCAGUAUUUCAGUAGCUGCUGUGACAAUAACUUUGCAUUCUGUAACUAUGUGCCAAAGUACAACUUCAGCACUGGAAUGGGGAGAUGUUUCUGUUCAUUUCUCUUGUUGAACUCCUGGGUGUUCCAAUUACAUAUGUUUUUAAGCAGAAAAAAAUUAAAAGCCUGCUUAACUGUGAAA